GAUCCUGGCUCAGGAUGAACGCUAGCUACAGGCUUAACACAUGCAAGUCGAGGGGCAUCAGGAUCUGUGCUUGCACAGAUUGCUGGCGACCGGCGCACGGGUGAGUAACGCGUAUCCAACCUUCCCCUUAGUAGAGGAUAGCCCGGCGAAAGUCGGAUUAAUACUCUAUGUUGUUCAAUGCGGACAUCUAAGUUGAACCAAAGGUUUACCGCUAAGGGAUGGGGAUGCGUCUGAUUAGGUAGUAGGCGGGGUAACGGCCCACCUAGCCAACGAUCAGUAGGGGUUCUGAGAGGAAGGUCCCCCACAUUGGAACUGAGACACGGUCCAAACUCCUACGGGAGGCAGCAGUGAGGAAUAUUGGUCAAUGGGCGCGAGCCUGAACCAGCCAAGUAGCGUGCCAGGAUGACGGCCCUAUGGGUUGUAAACUGCUUUUAUGCGGGGAUAAAGUGCACCACGUGUGGUGUUUUGUAGGUACCGCAUGAAUAAGGACCGGCUAAUUCCGUGCCAGCCGCCGC
rnacentral:rRNA from 1 species